rnacentral:lncRNA from 1 species
UUCAAGCUCAAAACUAGCUUAAUCCAACUUUUACCCAACAAGGUUAAAUACAAACCAGCUUAAUUCAACUUUUACCUAACAUGGUUAAAUACCUAAAGUUCAAAUUAGCUUAAUAAUUUGCAUACUAAAUUAUUCAAAUUUAAACAUGAAUAGUAUUCAAAUUCAAAACCAAUUUUUAAAAAUAAUUUAGGCUUACAAUUUCUUUACUUUAAAUCCAAACAAAAUUAGAAAGACCCAAGUUUUAUCUUCACUGCACGUACAGUUCACCCCCCAAAACUCUACAAUAAUCAAAUACUACAUAUUAUCAAGUAAAGUAUUACCUUAAUCCAAGAUUUGGUGUAGAGCCGAGCGAAAUCAGGUAAGCUUGAUAUCGAAAUAACGGAUCUGGCAAAUUCAUAUGGUGCAACUUCGAUAGAAGAUCAAAGAGCAGCGACUGUUUCCAUUUGCAGCACUAAAAUCGCAGCCCGAAC